ACGGGUGAGUAACGCGUGGGUAACCUGCCUCAUACAGGGGGAUAACAGCCGGAAACGGCUGCUAAAACCGCAUAAUAUAUGGAAGCCGCAUGGAUUUCAUAUUAAAUAUUGAUAGGUAUGAGAUGGGCCCGCGUCUGAUUAGCUAGUUGGGGGGGUAACGGCCCACCAAGGCGACGAUCAGUAGCCGGCUUGAGAGAGUGACCGGCCACAUUGGGACUGAGACACGGCCCAAACUCCUACGGGAGGCAGCAGUGGGGAAUAUUGCACAAUGGGGGAAACCCUGAUGCAGCGACGCCGCGUGAGUGAAGAAGUAUUUCGGUAUGUAAAGCUCUAUCAGCAGGGAAGAAAAUGACGGUACCUGACUAAGAAGCCCCGGCUAACUACGUGCCAGCAGCCGCGGUAAUACGUAGGGGGCAAGCGUUAUCCGGAUUUACUGGGUGUAAAGGGAGCGUAGGUGGUUUGAUAAGUCAGAUGUGAAAGCCCGGGGCUCAACCGCGGGACUGCAUCUGAUACUAUCAGGCUUGAGUGCAGGAGAGGUAAGUGGAAUUCCUAGU
rnacentral:rRNA from 1 species